rnacentral:rRNA from 1 species
ACUAACGCUGGCGGCGUGCCUAACACAUGCAAGUCGAACGAUUCUUUGAUUAUAGCAAUAUUAUUAAAGAGGAGUGGCGAACGGGUGAGUAACACGUAGAUAAUCUGCCUUUCAGACGGGGACAACUCAGGGAAACUUGUGCUAAUACCCGAUGAGACCACAAGAAGGGAUUUUUUGUGGCCAAAGGCGGGCAGCAAUGCUCGUGCUGAAAGAUGAGUCUGCGUCCUAUCAGCUAGUUGGUGGGGUAAAUGCCUACCAAGGCUAAGACGGGUAGCCGGCCUGAGAGGGUGAACGGCCACACUGGGACUGAGACACGGCCCAGACUCCUACGGGAGGCAGCAGUGAGGAAUUUUCCGCAAUGGGCGCAAGCCUGACGGAGCGACGCCGCGUGAGGGAUGACAGCUUUCGGGUUGUAAACCUCUUUUAUUAAGGAAAAAGAUCUAUAUGCUAAUAUCAUGUAGAUUUGAUGGUACUUAUUGAAUAAGCCCCGGCUAACUACGUGCCAGCCGCGGC